AUUGAACGCUGGCGGCAUGCCUUACACAUGCAAGUCGAACGGUAACGGGCCUUCGGGUGCCGACGAGUGGCGAACGGGUGAGUAAUGUAUCGGAACGUACCUUUCAGUGGGGGAUAACGUAGCGAAAGUUACGCUAAUACCGCAUAUUCUGUGAGCAGGAAAGCAGGGGAUCGCAAGACCUUGCGCUGAUUGAGCGGCCGAUAUCAGAUUAGCUAGUUGGUGAGGUAAAGGCUCACCAAGGCGGCGAUCUGUAGCGGGUCUGAGAGGAUGAUCAGCCACACUGGAACUGAGACACGGUCCAGACCCCUACGGGAGGCAGCAGUGGGGAAUUUUGGACAAUGGGGGCAACCCUGCUCCAGCCAUGCCGCGUGAGUGAAGAAGGCCUUCGGGUUGUAAAGCUCUUUCGGCCGGGAAGAAAUCGUAUCAGCUAAUACCUGGUGCGGAUGACGGUACCGGCAUAAGAAGCACCGGCUAACUACGUGCCAGCCGCCGCGGUAACAC
rnacentral:rRNA from 1 species